UAACACAUGCAAGUCGGACGGUAGCACAGAGGAGCUUGCUCCUCGGGUGACGAGUGGCGGACGGGUGAGUAAUGUCUGGGAAACUGCCCGAUGGAGGGGGAUAACUACUGGAAACGGUAGCUAAUACCGCAUAACGUCGCAAGACCAAAGUGGGGGACCUUCGGGCCUCACACCAUCGGAUGUGCCCAGAUGGGAUUAGCUGGUAGGCGGGGUAACGGCCCACCUAGGCGACGAUCCCUAGCUGGUCUGAGAGGAUGACCAGCCACACUGGAACUGAGACACGGUCCAGACUCCUACGGGAGGCAGCAGUGGGGAAUAUUGCACAAUGGGCGCAAGCCUGAUGCAGCCAUGCCGCGUGUAUGAAGAAGGCCUUCGGGUUGUAAAGUACUUUCAGCGGGGAGGAAGGUGCUGAGGUUAAUAACCUCAGCAAUUGACGUUACCCGCAGAAGAAGCACCGGCUAACUCCGUGCCAGCAGCCGCGGUAAUACGGAGGGUGCAAGCGUUAAUCGGAAUUACUGGGCGUAAAGCGCACGCAGGCGGUCUGUUAAGUCAGAUGUGAAAUCCCCGGGCUUAACCUGGGAACUGCAUUUGAAACUGGCAGGCUUGAGUCUCGUAGAGGGGGGUAGAAUUCCAGGUGUAGCGGUGAAAUGCGUAGAGAUCUGGAGGAAUACCGGUGGCGAAGGGCGGCCCCCUGGACGAAG
rnacentral:rRNA from 1 species